rnacentral:lncRNA from 1 species
AGUUUCUCCUGAGGGCAGGCCUUGUUAAGAAGAGCAGAGUGCUCUAUAGCAUUUCGAAAUGUUUCCUUUUCCCUUCCGCCUGCCAGUGGCAGGAGUGGAUUUUUCUCUGACAUCAGAUAAGGUGAGAACCUGGCUGAUGUUUUGAAGUUGUCCUCACUGAGCCUCCAACAAUUCAUCAAUGCGCUUUGGGUUUUCCUACCCCACACUGACUCCUGCAAGGUGUCCACUCAUGUCUCUGCUCAGACUCUGUGAUUGCCUCAAGAAACUAGAAAACCCAAGGAAAUCAAGAGACGAAUACUAUAAUUAUUAAGAGUAACAGAAGAGUUACACCAAUUAAUGGCCUUCAUAUACUGGGAACAAGCAUUGAUUUCUAUUUUCCACAAUGGAAUGGGUUCAUAGAUUGUCUUCACUUCAUAUAAAGAAUAAUGUAUUUCUAUGAUGAAAUAAACAAAACAUUGAAGUUUGAAAGAAAAUGCUAACAUAUUUCAGCACAUUUGUGACAUACCUGCAAUGUACCUGGAAGCAUAUGGAAGCAUGUGAAAGAUCUAGCACAAGUCUUGAGCCUGCUGACUUUCACACUGGAACUUAUGUCACCAGCUCUUCUGGUUCUCAGACCUCCAGACUCAGACUGGAACUACACAUUAAUUUUCUUCAAUCUCCAGCUUAUCAACUGCAGAUCUUGGAACUUCUCAGCCUCCAUAUUGCAUGAGCCAAUUCCUUUUAAUAAA